AAUUUUUUUCACAAACUGUUCUGAUUUGAUAAAUUUCAGAUUUUUUUAGAUUAUUGAGUCUUUUCUUGAUUUUUGAGGAUUUUGAUUCGUUGAUUAUUUUGUUUAUUGUUUGUUUUUUUACUAUUUUUAAUAUUUUUGUUGUUGUCUUUUUUCCUUUUUUCUUUGACUUUUUAUAAACCUUUUUAGCAUUUUUUCUUUUUCUCAAUCAUGUAUAUGUAUAUGUGUUCUAUGUUUGUGGUCAAAGGAUCUGCCUCAAACCCUUAUGUUUGAUUCUUGAGUGCUAUUGUAUUGUUUUACUCAAAUCCUUGUGGAAUGUCUUAUAUCUUGUAUAAUGCAAAUUCAUAAUAAAUAUGUAGGUUUCUCUUUUGAGCAUUUUUGUGUUGUUGAUGCAUUAUUAAUGUAUGAUGCACCAUGAUUACGCCUUGUAGUGAAAUUAUAAUAA
rnacentral:lncRNA from 1 species